UGUUUUUCAUUUUUUUU
rnacentral:sRNA from 1 species